rnacentral:rRNA from 1 species
UAGACGCUAGCGGCAGGCCUAAUACAUGCAAGACGAACGGUAAUUGAGUAGCAAUACUUAGCCAAGAGUGUCGUACGGGUGCGUAACACGUAUGCAACCUACCCUAUACAGGAGGAUAGCCUAGGGAAACCUGGAUUAACCCUUCAUAGUAUUAUUGGAUGGCAUCAUUUGAUAAUUAAAACUGAGGUGGUAUAGGAUGGGCAUGCGUCUGAUUAGUUAGUUGGCGGGGUAAUGGCCCACCAAGACGAUGAUCAGUAGGGGUUCUGAGAGGAAGAUCCCCCACACUGGCACUGAGAUACGGGCCAGACUCCUACGGGAGGCAGCAGUAGGGAAUAUUGGUCAAUGGAUGCAAGUCUGAACCAGCCAUGCCGCGUGCAGGAAGAAGGCCUUCUGGGUUGUAAACUGCUUUUGCCAGGGGAUAAAAUUUCCAUGCGUGGAAAACUGAAGGUACCAGGUGAAUAAGCCACGGCUAACUACGUG